rnacentral:ncRNA from 1 species
AAGCGCCGUAUACCGAACGGUACGUACGGUGCUGUGGAAGGUCGGAACGGGAAUUAAUCCCGUUCCUCCUAUCCGAU